rnacentral:rRNA from 1 species
UACCCGCGGCAAGACGGAAAGACCCCGUGAACCUUUACUAUAGCUUGACACUGAACAUUGAGCCUUGAUGUGUAGGAUAGGUGGGAGGCUUUGAAGCGUGGACGCCAGUCUGCGUGGAGCCGACCUUGAAAUACCACCCUUUAAUGUUUGAUGUUCUAACGUGGACCCGUUACCCGGGUUGCGGACAGUGUCUGGUGGGUAGUUUGACUGGGGCGGUCUCCUCCUAAAGAGUAACGGAGGAGCACGAAGGUUGGCUAAUCCUGGUCGGACAUCAGGAGGUUAGUGCAAUGGCAUAAGCCAGCUUGACUGCGAGCGUGACGGCGCGAGCAGGUGCGAAAGCAGGUCAUAGUGAUCCGGUGGUUCUGAAUGGAAGGGCCAUCGCUCAACGGAUAAAAGGUACUCCGGGGAUAACAGGCUGAUACCGCCCAAGAGUUCAUAUCGACGGCGGUGUUUGGCACCUCGAUGUCGGCUCAUCACAUCCUGGGGCUGAAGUAGGUCCCAAGGGUAUGGCUGUUCGCCAUUUAAAGUGGUACGCGAGCUGGGUUUAGAACGUCGUGAGACAGUUCGGUCCCUAUCUGCCGUGGGCGCUGGAGAACUGAGGGGGGCUGCUCCUAGUACGAGAGGACCGGAGUGGACGCAUCACUGGUGUUCGGGUUGUCAUGCCAAUGGCACUGCCCGGUAGCUAAAUGCGGAAGAGAUAAGUGCUGAAAGCAUCUAAGCACGAAACUUGCCCCGA